rnacentral:rRNA from 1 species
CGGGGGGGGCAAGCGUUGUUCGGAAUUACUGGGCGUAAAGGGCUCGUAGGCGGCCAACUAAGUCAGACGUGAAAUCCCCCAGGCUCAACCUGGGAACUGCGUCUGAUACUGGAUGGCUUGAAUUCGGGAGAGGGAUGCAGAAUUCCAGGUGUAGCGGUGAAAUGCGUAGAUAUCUGGAGGAAUACCGGUGGCGAAGGCGGCAUCCUGGACCGACAUUGACGCUGAGGAGCGAAAGCUAGGGGAGCAAACGGGAUUAGAUACCCCGGUAGUCCUAGCCCUAAACGAUGAAUGCUUGGUGUAACGGGUAUCGAUCCCUGUUGUGCCGAAGCUAACGCAUUAAGCAUUCCGCCUGGGGAGUACGGUCGCAAGGCUG